CAGCAGUAAGGAAUAUUGGUCAAUGGGCGCAAGCCUGAACCAGCCAUGCCGCGUGCAGGAAGACGGCCCUAUGGGUUGUAAACUGCUUUUGUCAGGGAAUAAACCCCCGCUCGUGAGCGGGGCUGAAGGUACCUGAAGAAUAAGCAUCGGCUAACUCCGUGCCAGCAGCCGCGGUAAUACGGAGGAUGCAAGCGUUAUCCGGAUUCAUUGGGUUUAAAGGGUGCGCAGGCGGAUUGGUAAGUCAGGGGUGAAAUCCCACAGCUCAACUGUGGAACUGCCUUUGAUACUGUCAGUCUAGAGUAUAGUUGAAGUUGGCGGAAUGUGUCAUGUAGCGGUGAAAUGCUUAGAUAUGACACAGAACACCGAUCGCGAAGGCAGCUAGCUAAGCUAUAACUGACGCUCAUGCACGAAAGCGUGGGGAUCAAACAGGAUUAGAUACCCUGGUAGUCCACGCUGUAAACGAUGAUUACUCGAUGUUGGCGAUACACAGUCAGCGUCUGAGCGAAAGCAAUAAGUAAUCC
rnacentral:rRNA from 1 species